rnacentral:ncRNA from 1 species
CUCUUAUGAAGAGAGGUGGAGGGAAGUGCCCUGCGAAGCCCGGCAACCAUCAUGAUGAUGAAAAGGUGCCAAAUCACACAAAGAUUUAUUCUUUGAAAGAUGAGAG